GAGCAGCACUGUGUUUCCUGUGUUUCUUUUGCUCCCUAUCCUGUUUUUCAGUCUGUGUUCAGAAGGAGGCAAAGCAUGGACUAUUUCAUUCCACUAAUGCAAAGACAAAGCCCUGUGGUGAGGAAAAGUUAAGAACAAGUCAAAGAGCAGAAACUGCCAUGAAAACUUGAGAAGGGACAAGCCAAGAGGCCAAGAGACAAGCUGGGAGGACAGUGAUCUGGGAACUAGAGAAAUGAUCUCAAAACCAGAGAAGAUUACAUGCUUGGAAGGCAGAUGCAUGCGAACGCACAGUGAAGUAGAAAGGGGAC